rnacentral:rRNA from 1 species
AGCUCCAAUAGCGUAUAUUAAAGUUGUUGCAGUUAAAAAGCUCGUAGUUGGAUUUCUGGUAGGAGCGACCGUUCCGAACUUGAUUGUUCGUGUAUUGAGUUGUCUCCAGCCAUCCUUGUGGAGAACUUUUCUUGCAUUAAUUUGUAGGGAUUGGGACCCGCAUCGUUUACUGUGAAGAAAUUAGAGUGUUUAAAGCAGGCAAUCGCUUGAAUACAUUAGCAUGGAAUAAUAAGAUAGGACUUUGGUACUAUUUUGUUGGUUUGCAUACCAAAUUAAUGAUCAAUAGGAACAGUUUGAGGAUAUUCGUAUGAACAUGUCAGAGGUGAAAUUCUUGGAUUUUGAUCAGACGAACUACUGCGAAAGCAUUUAUCAAGGAUGUUU